rnacentral:rRNA from 1 species
GACGAACGCUGGCGGCGUGCUUAACACAUGCAAGUCGAACGCUGAAGCUCAGCUUUUGUUGGGUGGAUGAGUGGCGAACGGGUGAGUAACACGUGAGUAACCUGCCCUCUUCUUUGGGAUAACGCCCGGAAACGGGUGCUAAUACUGGAUAUUCACUGGCCCCUGCAUGGGGGUUGGUGGAAAGGGUUUUUUCUGGUGGGGGAUGGGCUCGCGGCCUAUCAGCUUGUUGGUGGGGUGAUGGCCUACCAAGGCUUUGACGGGUAGCCGGCCUGAGAGGGUGACCGGUCACAUUGGGACUGAGAUACGGCCCAGACUCCUACGGGAGGCAGCAGUGGGGAAUAUUGCACAAUGGGCGAAAGCCUGAUGCAGCGACGCCGCGUGAGGGAUGGAGGCCUUCGGGUUGUAAACCUCUUUCGCUCAUGGUCAAGCCGCAACUGUGGGUUGUGGUGAGGGUAGUGGGUAAAGAAGCGCCGGCUAACUACGUGCCAGCAGCCGCGGUAAUACGUAGGGCGCGAGCGUUGUCCGGAAUUAUUGGGCGUAAAGGGCUUGUAGGCGGUUGGUCGCGUCUGCCGUGAAAUCCUCUGGCUUAACUGGGGGCGUGCGGUGGGUACGGGCUGACUUGAGUGCGGUAGGGGAGACUGGAACUCCUGGUGUAGCGGUGGAAUGCGCAGAUAUCAGGAAGAACACCGGUGGCGAAGGCGGGUCUCUGGGCCGUUACUGACGCUGAGGAGCGAAAGCGUGGGGAGCGAACAGG